AUGUGGCUCAGUUGGUAGAGCACCUGCCUAGCAUGCAUGAAACCCUGGGUUCCACCUCCAGCAU
rnacentral:tRNA from 1 species